AAUUUUGGACAAUGGGGGAAACCCUGAACCAGCCAUCCCGCGUGUAUGAUGAAGGCCUUCGGGUUGUAAAGUACUUUUGGCCGAGAAGAAAAGGUACCUCCUAAUACGAGGUACUGCUGACGGUAUCUGAAGAAUAAGCACCUGCUAACUUCGUUCCAGCAGCCGCGGUAAUAAGUAAGGUGCAAGCGUUAAUCGGAAUUACUGGGAGUAAAGCGUGUGUAGGCGGUUCGGAAAGAAAGAUGUGAAAUCACAGGGCUCAACCUUGGAACUGCAUUUUUAACUGCCGAGCUAGAGUAUGUCAGAGGGAGGUAGAAUUCCACGUGUAGCAGUGAAAUGCGUAGAUAUGUGGAGGAAUACCGAUGGCGAAGGCAGCCCCCUGGGAUAAUACUGACGCUCAGACACGAAAGCGUGGGGAGCAAACAG
rnacentral:rRNA from 1 species